rnacentral:rRNA from 1 species
CCUACGGGCGGCUGCAGUGGGGAAUAUUGCACAAUGGGCGCAAGCCUGGUGCAGCCAUGCCGCGUGUGUGAAGAAGGCCUUCGGGUUGUAAAGCACUUUCAGCGGGGAGGAAGGCGUUAAGGUUAAUAACCUUGUCGAUUGACGUUACCCGCAGAAGAAGCACCGGCUAACUCCGUGCCAGCAGCCGCGGUAAUACGGAGGGUGCAAGCGUUAAUCGGAAUUACUGGGCGUAAAGCGCACGCAGGCGGUCUGUCAAGUCGGAUGUGAAAUCCCCGGGCUCAACCUGGGAACUGCAUUCGAAACUGGCAGGCUAGAGUCUUGUAGAGGGGGGUAGAAUUCCAGGUGUAGCGGUGAAAUGCGUAGAGAUCUGGAGGAAUACCGGUGGCGAAGGCGGCCCCCUGGACAAAGACUGACGCUCAGGUGCGAAAGCGUGGGGAGCAAACAGGAUUAGAUACCCUUGUAGUC